rnacentral:rRNA from 1 species
GAUGAACGCUGGCGGCGUGCUUAACACAUGCAAGUCGAACGGACGCUUGUUGAAACCUAGUGAUAUAAGCGUUAGUGGCGGACGGGUGAGUAACGCGUGGAAAACCUGCCGUAUACAGGGGGAUAACACUUAGAAAUAGGUGCUAAUACCGCAUAAGCGCACAGCAACGCAUGUAGCAGUGUGAAAAGAUUUAUCGGUAUACGAUGGUUCCGCGUCUGAUUAGCCAGUUGGCAGGGUAACGGCCUACCAAAGCGACGAUCAGUAGCCGGCCUGAGAGGGUGGACGGCCACAUUGGGACUGAGACACGGCCCAAACUCCUACGGGAGGCAGCAGUGGGGAAUAUUGCACAAUGGGGGGAACCCUGAUGCAGCGACGCCGCGUGAGUGAAGAAGUAAUUCGUUACGUAAAGCUCUAUCAGCAGGGAAGAAAAAGAAAUGACGGUACCUGAUUAAGAAGCCCCGGCUAACUACGUGCCAGCAGCCGCAGUAAUAC